GUUUGAUCAUGGCUCAGGACGAACGCUGGCGGCGUGCUUAACACAUGCAAGUCGAACGAUGAACCACUUCGGUGGGGAUUAGUGGCGAACGGGUGAGUAACACGUGGGCAAUCUGCCCUUCACUCUGGGACAAGCCCUGGAAACGGGGUCUAAUACCGGAUAUCACUACCGCAGGCAUCUGUGGUGGUUGAAAGCUCCGGCGGUGAAGGAUGAGCCCGCGGCCUAUCAGCUUGUUGGUGAGGUAAUGGCUCACCAAGGCGACGACGGGUAGCCGGCCUGAGAGGGCGACCGGCCACACUGGGACUGAGACACGGCCCAGACUCCUACGGGAGGCAGCAGUGGGGAAUAUUGCACAAUGGGCGAAAGCCUGAUGCAGCGACGCCGCGUGAGGGAUGACGGCCUUCGGGUUGUAAACCU
rnacentral:rRNA from 1 species